AAAUGCGCUAUGUUGUUAUUCCAGCACGAGCGUUUUAACAGCUAUAAGAAAUAGGUUAAAGUUAAAUAGUUAAAUACAUCUCGAAAUAGCUAAACUAAUCAAAUGAAUUUCUCUUGCUAAAUAGAGUUUCCAAAAACGCUGGUAUCUGCUCACAUAGUUUUAACUGGCUCGCUGGCAAGCUUGAACCGAAAACUCUGUUACAACCACAUUCUGCAAUUGUUAGCUAGCAAGCUACAAUAAAUUAGAGCUCCACAUAGCUUGCUAACUCGCGCAACUCGACCAUGUGCCAGGUUGAUGAGGAAUACAAUGGACAGCUAGAUCACAGAGUGACCCCACGUGUCUCCAAGAAGUGUGUCAAAUGCAAAGAAAAUACAACUGUAUUGAUCAUCCGUGCUGGAGAUGCAUUUUGCAGGGGCUGCUUCAAGGAGUACUUCAUACACAAGUUCCGGGCCAUGCUGGGAAAGAACCGGGUCAUUUUCCCAGGAGAGAAGGUUCUUCUUGCAGUGUCUGGAGGGCCAGCCUCUAGCUCCAUGCUGUCACAGGUUCAAGAGGGUUUGAGUCGAGACGCACCCAAGAAGUUGAGAUUUGUCCCCGGAAUUAUCUACAUAGAUGAGGGCGGUGCCAGUGGUCAAAGCAUGGAAGAGCGGAAGAGGGCAGUGGCUCAACUGGAGUCAGUUUUCAGAGCCACUAAUUACCAUUACCACAUAGUCCACCUGGAGCAGGUACUCAGUCUCCCCAGCUCCGUGCUAGAGGCAGGAUCCUCGGCAACGGAAAAACCUCAGACUGGGUCGAGUUAUAAAGCUGCUGUGGACCACUUCAUCCCGACCAGGAAGAACCAGAACCAGCACCCAGACCUCUCUGUGGAGAAUGCCCAGAGUCUCCUGUCCAAUCUGAGCAUGCAGGAGGUCCAGAAUGGAGUAACCAGCCCCAUCACCCAUGAACACACCCAAGCCCUUCAGAGACUGUUUGCCUCUGUGAGGACGCCGACAGCCAAAGAGGAUUUGCUACAUACACUGAGGCAGCACCUGAUUCUCCACACAGCGAGGACGCAGGGCUACACCAAGGUGAUGAUGGGGGACAGCUGCUCCCGCCUGGCCAUCAAACUACUCAGCAACAUCUCUCUGGGGCGAGGGGCAUCGCUGGCAACAGACACGGGCUUCUCAGAUCCUCGCCACGGAGACGUGGUCAUUGUCAGACCCAUGAGGGACUACUCCUCUAAAGAAAUAGCCUAUUACAACAGAAUGUUUGACAUCCCCUCCGUCUUUAUCCCUGGCCUGGACUCUAAGGCACAAGACAAGGCCAGCAUCCAGCGCUUGACAGAGAGCUUUGUCACCAAACUCCAGACGGACUUCCCCUCUACUGUCAGCACAAUCUACAGGACCAGUGAGAAGCUCCACACAGCAUGUCCCCCUCAGAACACCAACACACAACUCUCUGCUAAGUGCCUACUGUGUGUCUGUGCCUUGGACACUAAACUAGAGGAGUUCUCUGCCUACCAGGCCACACUGAUCUCAGAGCAGCUGUCUCAGAGGCGGGGCCCAGGCCCUGAGUUCACCCCUGGUACAGCAGCAGCUCCAGGUUCGCCUCCAGCCUCCUCGGCAGGACAGGACCACUCCUCUGGAGGGGGCCAGAGUCAGGGGUGUGAGACUGGAGAUGGGGGCUGCUGCUCCUCUGCUAAGUCAGGAGCCAGAGACGGUGGAUCUUAAAAGCCUGUUGUGUUACAGUUGUAGACUGACCAUCAAAGACAUGACUGCAUUAGAUGCCCUUCCCCAGUACAUACUGUCAGAGGCUGAGAGGAGACGGUCUCAGAUGAGGGAGGAGAUCAGUGAGUUCCUGCUAGAUGAGGAAGAGAAUGAAGCCAUCCCGAGGGUCAAUGGGUCAUAGUGACUGGACACCGUCCAUCGGCACUGCAGUGACACUGUUCCCUUGGCAACUAUACAGCCAAGGCUGUUUGUCACAAUAUAAACAAAUACCAAUUGCUUGUAUAAUUUGUUUUCAGUCAGUUUAUUCAUUAUUUGUCUAUAAGACAACUAUAGACAGUUUAAAUCAAUCUUAACUGCACCCAAAAUGAUUUGUACAAGGCACUGCUUGGUGGUGAAUCUAACAUUGAUUCAGGUCUAACUAAUGAAUUGAAUAUAUGAUGCUGAAACAAUUUGUUUUUCCAUGUCAGGAAUGAGAAGGAUCAUUUAUUUGUACACAUGAACAAUAUUUUCAUUGGUUUAGGAGCUGAAUCACAUUAUAUUGGAAAUAGAAAUGAUUAUUCUUCCACAACAGAGAUCCCAUAGCAACAACCUACAUGGUUCUACAUUAGAACUCCCAUCAGCAUCACACAGGUUCUCUGAAAAUGAGAGCAAACAUAUGGCAAUAAAGUAAAACACAUGUUUAUUAAAGUUAGGAAAGGUUUUGGUUUUACG